rnacentral:rRNA from 1 species
UACGUAGGGGGCAAGCGUUGUCCGGAAUUAUUGGGCGUAAAGAGCGUGUAGGCGGUCCGGUAAGUCGGCUGUGAAAGUCCAGGGCUCAACCCUGGGAUGCCGGUCGAUACUGCCGGACUAGAGUUCGGAAGAGGCGAGUGGAAUUCCCGGUGUAGCGGUGAAAUGCGCAGAGUAUCGGGAGGAACACCUAUGGCGGAAGG